AGAAAGCAAAUUCAGACAGCGGUUGCCUGGAUCAACACCCAGUACUGGGAUGCCUGGAACCUGUGUGACAAGGAGGCAGAUCAUGGCUGGAAACCAUUCAGGAAGAAGGAUGUGAGGAAGAAGAAGAAACUGAGGUGGCGUUUCAGGAGGCACAAGACGCUGAGGUUGCCCAGUUGGACAGAUGGUGUCCAUGUGGCUGGUGUAAGGUACGUGUUUAUAUCAGUAUCUACAUGUAAAGGGAGCAGACACAGGAAAAAGGUAUUGAAGACCCUUGAUAUGAUAUUGCUGUUUUUGAUUUAGAUUCCAAAGUUAACCCUUUAUUUAAUUUAUCCCUUUUCCCCAAGUAGAAUGAUGCAUUUACUUGUAAUCUGUAUUAUUUUGCUUUGGAGUCGGAAGUUCCAAAAUCACCAGGUAAGUUAAUCGAUUGUAUGUGUUUUAACUACUAGACAGAUGUAAAUGAUAAGCCUUAAGAUUUAUUUUAAAUUAAUUUAUUGUUUUUUUGUAAAUUAAAAACAGGAACCCUCGUGGACCAAGACUUGAGGGCAUUUGUACCAUCCAGCUGUACAACUUUAACUGGUUCUGCAGUCUUUUUCUCCCCACAGCCUCUGCUUGUUCCCUUCUUCUCUUUCUGUCUUCCCUCCAGGAGAGCUCCUCAGGCAUCUCCAGCCUGUAAUUCCUGGGAAAUGCCACCUGCCACCCAUCCUUGGAAGCGUCGCCCAGUCUCAGGAUCUCAUACGUCACCAUUCAUCACAGAGUCACAGCGCUUGCAGACAUCUGGAUAAAAGGAAAAGCCCAUUUUUUAAAACUUACACGUUAAAUUUUCCUCUAAUUACCAUUUUAUUCUUUUAAAUUUCAUUAUGUUUAAUUACAUUUAGUAUGGAUUAAGGCACAGCCAGCCUGGAUUAAGGCAUCACCAGCCUGUCAUCAGACUCUCCGGACAAUGCCAGCCCAGAGGGGGCUGACCUGGAGGACAUUCCCCCGGAGGACAUGGAGUGGGAGCCUCCAGGUCUUGCCCUGAGUCCCACUCCGUGGUGUCAGCCCCGUGGCCAAAGUUUCCCCAGCCGAGGAGGCUAUCGCCGCGACAACGGCAGGGUCAACGGAAAUCCAGUCGUGGGCUGAGGUCCAGGAGGAAAAAACGAGGUUAUGCUACCCAGACCUGCCUCCUGAUCCAGGCUUGGUCCAAGA